GACGAACGCUGGCGGCGUGCUUAACACAUGCAAGUCGAACGGAAAGGCCCUGCUUGUGUGGGGUGCUGGAGUGGCGAACGGGUGAGUAACACGUGAGUAACCGGCCCUUGACUUUGGGAUAAGUUCAGGAAACUGGGGCUAAUACCGGAUAGGAGCUCCUGCUGCAUGGUGGGGGUUGGAAAGUUUCGGCGGUUGGGGAUGGACUCGCGGCUUAUCAGCUUGUUGGUGGGGUAGUGGCUUACCAAGGCUUUGACGGGUAGCCGGCCUGAGAGGGUGACCGGCCACAUUGGGACUGAGAUACGGCCCAGACUCCUACGGGAGGCAGCAGUGGGGAAUAUUGCACAAUGGGCGGAAGCCUGAUGCAGCAACGCCGCGUGCGGGAUGACGGCCUUCGGGUUGUAAACCGCUUUCGCCUGUGACGAAGCGUGAGUGACGGUAAUGGGUAAAGAAGCACCGGCUAACUACGUG
rnacentral:rRNA from 1 species